ensembl:lncRNA
AUGGUAUGUUAUGUCGUGUUAUGUUAUGUCAUGGUAUGUUAUGUCAUGGUAUGUCAUGUCAUGUUAUGUCCAUGUCUCAAUCUCUGAAUGCUCGGCUAUGAAAAGCCAACUGACAUUUAACUUCUGAGGUGCAGACCUGUUGCUACCCUCUAUAACAAGCGUCUCCAGACUUUUAUAGCAUGAGCUCCUUUAAAAAAAAAUGAAACAUGUCACAAGCAAACUCUUUAAAUUUUUAUUUAUUUAUAGCUUUUAAAUAGGCACAUUCUUCUCCUCUACCCGGCAACUCUUCCCCGGGUUCCUCGCUGUAUAAAAGAUGUCAAUAUACCUGAUAGAAUAAUGGUUCAUAAACGGUAAUCAACACGACAGCCCCACAACAUUGUCCUUAGUAUUUUCCAGAUUUUUUUUCUUCUUCUCCUGGUUUUGACUCCGUUUUUAACUCUCAAUAGUACAACUGUUCAUAGAGAAACAGCAACUGAAUGUUCUGAGUCCACGUCUAUGCUUAAAUCACAUCAGAAGACCUUCAGACCUAAACAUAACGAUUUUAGAUUUUUUGAGUGUAAUUCCCUUUUAAUUGCGCAUCGAGCCAGAGAGAGAUGUGUCGCUGUAGUGAUGCUUCUGUCAGGACGACUGCAGCUCGCGUCAUGGUAGAGUUUGUAAAACAAUGGCCAUCCAAUUGAUGUAAAUAAUCAUGACCGUUGUGUCAGGUAAGCCUACUUCACAGUUAACAUUUAAUUGACCACGUAAUUGAUGUAAAUAAUCAUGACCGUUCUGUCAGGUAAGCCUACUUUACAGUUAACAUUUAAUUGACCACGUAAUUGAUGUAAAUAAUCAUGACUUUUCUGUCAGGUAAGCCUACUUUACAGUUAACAUUUAAUUGACCAGGUAAAUGGGGAAAGUCUUUCUGUCUCUGCCGCUCUGACAUUUCUCAACCAUAUAUUUAUAUAUUCUUAAUUCCAGUCCUUUACUUAGAUGUGUGUGUAUUGGGUAUGUUGUGAAAUUGUAAGAUAUUACUGCACUGUUGGAACUAGAAGCACAAGCAUUUCACUACACCUGCAAUAACAUCUGCUAACCAUGCGUAUGUGACCAAAUUUGGGACUCCCCAAUCAUGGCCAGUUGUGAUACAGCCUAGAAUCGAACCAGGGUCUGUAGUGAACACCUCUUGCACUGAGAUUCUGUGCCUUAGAUCGCUGCGCCACUCAGGAGCCCAACUACAUGGUGAGCUACUCAUAGGUGGGCUGUGAGCUGCUGGUAGAUGUCCAUCCACCUAUUGGAGAGCCCUGAUCUAUAACCACUGUGAUUAUUAUCUCACCCUGCUGGUCAUCUAUGAUCGUCUGAACAUCUUGAAGAACCAUCUGGCCUUAAUGGCCGUAUACUCCUUAUAAUCACCAAUCUCUGAGGACUGGUCCACCCCUCUGAGCCUGGUUCCUCUCUACCCAGCACAACCAGAAAGAGGACUGGUCCACCCCUCAGAGCCUGGUUCCUCUCCACCCGGCACAACCAGAAAGAGGACUGGUCCACCCCUCAGAGCCUGGUUCCUCUCCACCCGGCACAACCAGAAAGAGGACUGGUCCACCCCUCAGAGCCUGG